rnacentral:rRNA from 1 species
UGGGGGAUAUUGCACAAUGGGGGAAACCCUGAUGCAGCGACGCCGCGUGAGUGAAGAAGUAUUUCGGUAUGUAAAGCUCUAUCAGCAGGGAAGAAGAUGACAGUACCUGAGUAAGAAGCCCCGGCUAACUACGUGCC